GCGCCCGUAGCUCAGCUGGAUAGAGCGUCGCCCUCCGGAGGCGAAGGUCGGGAGUUCGAAUCUUCCCGGGCGCGCCA
rnacentral:tRNA from 1 species